rnacentral:lncRNA from 1 species
UUUAAUAAAUUAAAAAAAAAACUAAAACUAAUUAUUUUAAAAACAAAAAACAAAAACCCAACAGCCACAAAAGCUCCCCAUCUAGCCACCCGAUCCUACCCCGCCGGCGGAGACCUCCUCCCCCUUGCCGCCGAUAAAUACUCCUUUCCUCUUUAUCUCUCUCUAUCUUUCUAUCUCUUUUGUCUCUCUCUCUCUGUGUCUCUAUGUGCCGAUCCAGAUCUGGAUCCCAAGAUCUAUGUGUAAAUGAUGAGUAACAACAACAGCAACUGAUGGUCCAAACAACUAUCACAAGAGAUCAUGUAAUUGAUUCUACAACGAUGAGAUUGACUGCGAGACAGACUAUGUUGUUGGGGUUUUGAAGAAGAGCAAGAUGGGUGUUAUUCUUGCCGACGGCUUGAAGAUGAGAUUGACUAUGUUGUUGGGGUUUUGAGUUUGGGGAAGAAAAGAGUGGGAAAAGAAAAGAAAUUGACUACGCUGUUCUCAUGGACCGUGGUCCAUCUGUAAAUUGUUCAUUGUUAGUUAGCUUUAUGAGGUAGUUUAAAUCAAGCUGUGAUUCGCAGCUUCUAAAGUUUAUUGGGAUAAAUUAUAGCUUUCCAACUAUGGCCUUUGCAAUGAUUGAUCUCAUGCCAGCUUUUACCUUCAUUCAUGCUGUCAUCACUGGGUAAAUACUAAAUAUACAAUUACUGUCCCAAAUUGAUGAAUAUAUUUUCUUUUUUUAUGAUAAAUAUGUUUUGGUUUUUAGGAUGGAAAUUCUAGAUUUGAGAAUUACCAGUAGACAUGCGAACAAUGGUGUCAAUCUCAGGGGCAAAGUGCUUCCGGCGAGCAGAGGGAGGUUGCUGUCGGCAGGGUCGGGGUGGCUGACCAGGUUGGGUGGGUGGGGGAGCUUUGGUUGAAUUAAUUUAAUAGUGGGGGACAGCUAAAGGGUAUUUUAGGUAUAAUAGUGGGUGGAAAGAUAGGAUUAUUUUUUUUUCAAAUUUAUGUAAGAGUGUGUAUUUAGGGAUAGUUUAGAAAGAUAGUUGAAUUUUCUUAGAAAUUGUGAAAUUUUGAAUUAGAAAUUGGGGUGAACAAAGAGAAGUGCGAGGUUUAAAUAGAAAAACUCUCUGUUUGGUUCACAUAACAAAUUU